rnacentral:lncRNA from 1 species
AUUACUUCGCUACUCAAAUCAUCUAAUCUAAAUAAUUUAGAUCUAAUCUAAAUUAUUUCAAAUCUGAUUAUUAUAUUUUGAUCAUAGUAAAAUUAAAUAAUAAUUAUUAUAAAUAAAUUUUAUAUAUUUUAAAUUAAAAUCAAAUUUUAUGAAGAUCAGUAUAAACUAGGACAACUUUGCACUGUAAGGGAUAAACCUUACAGCAGGACAACCUUAUAUCAAUUUGUACGAUUAAAUCUAUAACUAAUUUUAGAUCUAAAUAUUAUACAUUAAAACUAAUCUAAAUUAAAUUAUAAAUCUA